AAUUUCAGCUGAAAAGGUUAUGAAUAUAAAAGUUGUAGAAAUCAUCAAGACAUACAACUUUUAUUUUGAUCAUUUCUUCAUCUGACAAAAUGGUAGUAAUAUUAUUUACAAAAUUUAUAUAUCUCUACUAUAGUUUAUAAAACCAAAUGAGAGAUAUGAAAUUUUGUGUACAAUGUUACUAUCACUUUGUCGGAUGAAGAAAUGACAAAAAUAGAAGUUAUAGAUCUUGAUGAAUUAUACAACUUUGUUGUUGAUGACUUUUUCAGUUGAAAUC
rnacentral:pre_miRNA from 1 species